GACGAACGCUGGCGGCGUGCUUAACACAUGCAAGUCGAACGGAGAACGAGGGAGCUUGCUCCCUCCGGGUCAGCGGCGAACGGGUGAGUAACACGUGAGCAAUCUGCCCCGAACUCUGGGAUAAGCGCUGGAAACGACGUCUAAUACCGGAUACGACGCUGGAGGGCAUCCUCCCAGCGUGGAAGGCACUUCGGUUCGGGCUGAGCGCGCGGCCUAUCAGCUUGUUGGUGAGGUAACGGCUCACGACGGCGCCGGCGGGUAGCCGGCCUGAGAGGGGGACCGGCCACACUGGGACUGAGACAGGGCGCAGACGCCUACGGUAGGCAGCAGUGGAGAAUAUUGCAGAAUGGGCGCAAGCCUGAUGCAGCAGCGCCGCGUGAGGGACGACGGCCUUCGGGUUGUAAACCUCUUUUAGCAGGGAAGAAGCGAAAGUGACGGUACCUGCAGAAAAAGCACCGGCUAACUACGUG
rnacentral:rRNA from 1 species